rnacentral:pre_miRNA from 10 species
AGCCCCUUGAUAGACGUCUUACCAGACACGGUUAGAUUUAAUGAUCUGUGUCUAAUACUGUCUGGUAAUGCCGUCUAUUAAGUGGC